rnacentral:misc_RNA from 1 species
GAACAUUUCCGGUGCUGGAUCUGCGAAAGUUCCAGAAUCUCCGGCCUGCAACUUCAGCAGCUAAUGAAGACGACGAUAACGGUUGCACCAGUGGUAGAGGUGCCAUAGCGAUCCUCCUGGAGAAUCCAACAGAGAAUUUGGAGGAAGACAAACAUGGAGGCUGUACCUCAGGCAACUUCGAGUGAAGAUCUGCGAGCUGUGACUGUGAAGCCAUCUCCGGCGAGGUGUAUCGGACGGAGACGGAACGCCAAC